rnacentral:lncRNA from 1 species
GUCACAGCAGCUCCUGCCAUAGCAACCUGAGGGCACCUCAGCCAGGAAGCUAAGCAGGGUCGGGACUGGCUGGGGCAUGGGUGGGGGACUGCCUGAGCAGACCGGGGGCUGGAGGCUUUUGGCUUCACGCUCCCUUCUAGCUUUCUUCCCGCUUUCCCCUGCUUGUCAUAAUGCUUCCCAACCGCCCCUUGACUCUCUCACCCUUUCUUUGCUGCCCGCCUUCAUUCCCACCACUGCCCAGGACCUCCCCUUGGUUGUUCCUCCUGGUAGCACCAGGGGGCCACAGAAACCUGAGGGCCCCCAGCCUGGUAGAUAUCAGGGUCAGGUCUGGCUGGGGCUUGGAUGGCGGACCGCCUGGGGAGACCAGGGGCUGGAGGCUUUUGGCUUCCUGCUCUUUUCCCGCUUUCCCUCUCUUAUUGCAAAAUUUUCAAUCUUGCCCCCAUUUUCCACCCGCCUGCUCCUUCACUGCGGCCUGGGACCUACCCACAGGGGUCUGACCUGGCAGCUCUUGGGUAGCAUAGCUGACUGAGGACGCCCCAGCCCGGAAGCUAAGCAGGGUCAAACCUGGCUGGGGCUUGAAUGGUUGACUGCCUGGGGACAACCGGGGCUGGAGGCUUUUGACUACCCGCUUACCCCCGCUUGUUCUAAUGCUUCCUAACUGCCCCCUGACUCUCUGGCUCCCCAUUUCACACCCACCUGCACCCCUACUAUGACCCAGGGCCUCCCCAUGGAAGUCUGUCUCGGCAGCCCCCAGGCGCCAUAGCAGCCUGAGGGCAUCCCAGCCUGAAAGGUAAGCAAGGUCAGGCCUGGCUGAAGAUUGGAUGGGGGACUGCAUGGGGAGACCAGGGGCUAGAGGCUUUUGGCUUCCCAGUCCCUUCCCGCUUUCUUCCGCUUGUCCCAACACUUCCCAACCACCCCCUGACUCUCUGGUACCCCCUUUUCCUGCCCGCCUGUGCCCCCACCAUGGCCCGGGACCUCCCCUUGGGAGUCUCUCCCGGCAGCCCCCUGGCGCCCUAGCAGCCCAAGGGGGCCCCAGCCCGGAAGCUAAGAAGGGUUGGGCCUGGCGGGGCUUGGAUGGGGGACUACAACCUUGGGGGAAUGGGGGCUGAAGGCUUUUGGCUUCCCACUCCCUUCCUGCAUUCUGUCACUUGUCACAAUGCUUCCCAACCCUCCUUUUACUCUCUGGCCUUCUCUUUUCCACCAGCCUGCUCCCCUGUGAGUCCCAGGACCUCCCACCUCCGCGCGGGGGUCCGUCCUGGCAGCCCGUGGGCACCAUAGCAGCCUGAGGGUGCUCCAGCUUGGAAGCUAAGCAGGGUCAGGCCUCCUGGGGUUUAGAUGGGGGACCGCCUGGAGAGACUGGGCUGGAGGCUUUUGGAUUGCCUCUCCAUUCCCACUUUCCCCUACUAGUCACAAUGCUUCCCAACUGCCUCUUGACUCUCUAGUACCCUGUUUCCCACCCACCUGUGCCCCCCCCCCCGGUGGCCCGCUACACCCCUCCCCCCGUGGAAGUCAGUCUCGGCAUUCCCGGGCAUCAUAGCAACAUGAGGGUGCCCCAGCCCGGAAGGGCCCAGGACCUCCCAGUGGGUUUCCGUCCCAGCAGCCCGGGCGCCACAGCAGUCUGACAGCGCCCCAUCCCAGAAGCUCACCUGCACCCCUGCUGUGGAAGAAAACCUACCUAUAGGGGUACUCCCUGGCAGCCCAUGAAGCCAUAGUAGCCUGAAAGUGCUCAAGCCCAGAAAACAAUAGUUACUUCUGUGAGAUGAAUGGAAACUAUGUUCCAAUGGGAUCCAAAAUGUCCCUUCAAAAAUUCUACAAAAAGACUGCUUCCAAUCUGCUUAAUCAGAACAAAGGUUUAACUCCAUGAGAUGCAUCCAAACAUUGCAAAGCAUUUUCACAUAUAGCUUUUUUCUAGUUUUUAUCACGGGAUAUUCAUUUUUUCACUAUAGCCCCAAUUAGCUCCAAAAUGUCCAUUCAUAGAUUUUACAAAAACAGUGUUUCUAACAUGCUGAAUGAAAACAAAGGUUUAACUCUGUGAUAUGAAUCCACACAUUGGAAAGUG